CGUCAUCGGUUAUCAUGAAGUGGUAGGUCAUUGGGCAUGAUCCUUAAAACCAAUACUAGGGCCGCAAAGGAAUUAUAAUAACAGGAUUAUGCAUCAAUGCAUGGGCCUGGCUUUUGUGUCUGACCCUAAGAGUUUGGGUGAUUGAAUUGAGGAUUUACUUCUGAGAUAUGGGUAACACUAACACACACACACACACACACACACUAGGCUAGGAGUUUUGGCCUAUAAUCGUUAGAUUUUUUGUUCUUUUUGACACUAUAUACAUGUCAUGCAGACUCUCCAAACACUUCUUCUUCCAACGGUUCAGCAUAUUCGUUUGAAACUCAUAUCAAACAUAGUUGUGGUUCCGGUUACUCCCCAAGCUCUGCCAUCUUGAACAUCCUCCCCUAGAAUAUGUUGACAUCUUUGUUUUUUAUUUUUUAUAAAAGGAUUCUGUCCAAAUAUAUUCAUAUCAUGUCUUUUAAUUUUCUAGUUCUGUCAAUAUAUAUUCAUAUCAUG
rnacentral:lncRNA from 1 species